AGAGUUUGAUCAUGGCUCAGAUUGAACGCUGGCGGCAGGCCUAACACAUGCAAGUCGAACGGUAACAGGAAACAGCUUGCUGUUUCGCUGACGAGUGGCGGACGGGUGAGUAAUGUCUGGGAAACUGCCUGAUGGAGGGGGAUAACUACUGGAAACGGUAGCUAAUACCGCAUAACGUCGCAAGACCAAAGAGGGGGACCUUCGGGCCUCUUGCCAUCAGAUGUGCCCAGAUGGGAUUAGCUAGUAGGUGGGGUAACGGCUCACCUAGGCGACGAUCCCUAGCUGGUCUGAGAGGAUGACCAGCCACACUGGAACUGAGACACGGUCCAGACUCCUACGGGAGGCAGCAGUGGGGAAUAUUGCACAAUGGGCGCAAGCCUGAUGCAGCCAUGCCGCGUGUAUGAAGAAGGCCUUCGGGUUGUAAAGUACUUUCAGCGGGGAGGAAGGGAGUAAAGUUAAUACCUUUGCUCAUUGACGUUACCCGCAGAAGAAGCACCGGCUAACUCCGUGCCAGCAGCCGCGGUAAUACGGGGGGUGCAAGCGUUAAUCGGAAUUACUGGGCGUAAAGCGCACGCAGGCGGUUUGUUAAGUCAGAUGUGAAAUCCCCGGGCUCAACCUGGGAACUGCAUCUGAUACUGGCAAGCUUGAGUCUCGUAGAGGGGGGUAGAGUUCCAGGUGUAGCGGUGAAAUGCGUAGAGAUCUGGAGGAAUACCGGUGGCGAAGGCGGCCCCCUGGACGAAGACUGACGCUCAGGUGCGAAAGCGUGGGGAGCAAACAGGAUUAGAUACCCUGGUAGUCCACGCCGUAAACGAUGUCGACUUGGAGGUUGUGCCCUUGAGGCGUGGCUUCCGGAGCUAACGCGUUAAGUCGACCGCCUGGGGAGUACGGCCGCAAGGUUAAAACUCAAAUGAAUUGACGGGGGCCCGCACAAGCGGUGGAGCAUGUGGUUUAAUUCGAUGCAACGCGAAGAACCUUACCUGGUCUUGACAUCCACGGAAGUUUUCAGAGAUGAGAAUGUGCCUUCGGGAACCGUGAGACAGGUGCUGCAUGGCUGUCGUCAGCUCGUGUUGUGAAAUGUUGGGUUAAGUCCCGCAACGAGCGCAACCCUUAUCCUUUGUUGCCAGCGGUCCGGCCGGGAACUCAAAGGAGACUGCCAGUGAUAAACUGGAGGAAGGUGGGGAUGACGCCAAGUCAUCAUGGCCCUUACGACCAGGGCUACACACGUGCUACAAUGGCGCAUACAAAGAGAAGCGACCUCGCGAGAGCAAGCGGACCUCAUAAAGUGCGUCGUAGUCCGGAUUGGAGUCUGCAACUCGACUCCAUGAAGUCGGAAUCGCUAGUAAUCGUGGAUCAGAAUGCCACGGUGAAUACGUUCCCGGGCCUUGUACACACCGCCCGUCACACCAUGGGAGUGGGUUGCAAAAGAAGUAGGUAGCUUAACCUUCGGGAGGGCGCUUACCACUUUGUGAUUCAUGACUGGGGUGAAGUCGU
rnacentral:rRNA from 1 species